rnacentral:rRNA from 1 species
AUUGAACGCUGGCGGCAGGCCUAACACAUGCAAGUCGAACGAGUGGCGGACGGGUGAGUAAUGUCUGGGAAACUGCCUGAUGGAGGGGGAUACCUACUGGCAACUGUAGCUAAUACCGCAUACCAUCGGAUGUUCCCAGAUGGGAUUAGCUAGUGGGUGGGGUAAAGUCUCACCUAGGCGACGCUCCCUAGCUGGUCUGAGAGGAUGACCAGCAAAACGGGAACGGAGACACGGUCCAGACUCCUACGGGAGGCAGAAGUGGGGAAUAUUGCACAAUGGGCGCAAGCGUGAUGCAGCCAUGCCGCGUGUAUGAAGAAGGCCUUCGGGUUGUAAAGUACUUUCAGCGGGGAGGCGUUACCCGCAGAAGAAGCACCGGCUAACUCCGUGCCAGCAGCCGCGGUAAUUC